rnacentral:rRNA from 1 species
ACCCCGAAGCAGCUGAAGGCGGCGUCCAUUGUGGGGUUUGGUGGGAUGGGCAAGACGACUCCUGCCAACCAAAUCUACCACUCGUUUGGAGAGCAAUUCAAGUACCGGGCUUUCGUGUCCGUCUCUCGAGACCCUGAGGCGCUGAAGGUUCUGAGAGGUAUUCUGAGCCAACUGAGCAAGCUAGAGCACAGUGGCACUGAAUCUGGGGAUGAGAGACAACUCAUUGACAACAUUCUAUAUUUCCUUCGAGACAAAAGGUACUACAUUGUGAUUGAUGACGUAUGGAGCGUAGAGACAUGGGAGAUUAUCAAAUGUGCAAUUCCCAGAAACAGAUUUGGUAGUAGAGUAAUCACGACAACGCGUAUAAAGGCAGUGGCCGAAUCAUGCUCCUCCACAUAUGCAGACCAUGUUUAUGAAAUGAGGCCUCUUAGCGCCGUGCACUCAAAGGGGUUGUUCCUCGAGAGANNNNNNNNNNNNNNNNNNNNNNNNNNNNNNNNNNNNNNNNNNAUUUGUGAUGAUAUAUUGAAGAAAUGCGGCGGUUUGCCGCUGGCGAUUAUUACCAUUUCUGGCCUACUGGCGAACAAAGCUCAGACCAUGGUUCAAUGGGCCCAAGUGCAAAGUUCCAUUGGUUGUGCACAUCAAAGAUAUCCAAGUGUUGAAAGAAUGAUAAAGAUACUAUCCCUUAGUUACUUUGACCUCCAUCACGAUCUGAAAACUUGUCUAUUGUAUCCAAGUAUAUUCCCAGAGGAUUAUCCCAUUGAGAAGAGCCGUCUGAUAAGAAGAUGGAUCGCAGAGGGAUUUAUUCAAGGAAGGAGCGGGCACACUACGUAUGAACUGGGGGAGAGGUGCUUCAAUGAGCUGAUCAACAGGAGCCUGAUCCAACCAUGGCAUAUAAAUAGGUACAGGGAGGUGACAGUAUGCCGAGUUCAUGACACAAUCCUUGAUUUCAUAGUGUACAAGUCUGUUGAAGAGAACUUUGUCACCCUACUUGGUGUUCCAGAGCUUACUGGUAGGCCACAUAACAAGGUUCGUCGAUUAUCUCUCCAGCACAAGAGCAAUGAAGAUGAUAUCCUACGACCAAACUUGAUUUAUUCUCAUGUUCGAUCUCUUACUGUUUUUGGGCGUUCGAUGCGAAUCCCUUCUCGGUUUAAAUCCAGAUUUGUGCGGGUUUUGGACUUGGAAGGCUGCCACAUGUUAGCAGGCUAUCUUAACAACAUAUCUAGCUCAUUUCAACUCAAGUACCUUAGCCUCAGAAACACACUUAUUACUGAGCUCCCGGAACAAAUCGGCGAACUGCGGGAUCUAGAGACACUGAACCUCGAAGGCACGUUCAUAACUGAAUUGCCAGCAACCAUCGCUCGACUUCGGCACUUGGUGCAUCUGUUGAUAAAUAGAGGGGUUAAGCUACCGGAUGGAACUGGGAACAUGCAAGGAUUAGAAGAGCUGAAAGUAAUUAGUUUAUUUGAGCAGCCAACUGGCUUCUUCCAGGAAUUUGGUCUCCUAACAAACAUGAUAGAUGUGAGCAUGUUUUGGGACAUUCCGAACAGGAACUCGAGAAGUUAUCUUGGAAAGAGAAGAAGGGAUCAGAGUUCAUUUGAAACUUCUGAUGUGCACCUGAAUAAUGCAGUGUCUUCCCUCUGUAAGCUGUGCACAUGCAAUCUUCAGUCUCUGUCCCUUGAUACCACUUUCAGUAUCGCAUUCAGGUUUUCCCUCAUUGAUCAAAAGCGGUAUCACCAUAUCACAGACUCCAGGUACAACUCAGUCACAACAGUACCAUGUUAA